rnacentral:rRNA from 1 species
UACGAAGGGGGCUAGCGUUGUUCGGAUUUACUGGGCGUAAAGCGCACGUAGGCGGUUUGUUAAGUCAGAGGUGAAAUCCCGGAGCUCAACUCCGGAACUGCCUUUGAUACUGGCAAGCUAGAGUCCGGAAGAGGUAAGUGGAACUCCUAGUGUAGAGGUGGAAUUCGUAGAUAUUAGGAAGAACACCAGUGGCGAAGGCGGCUUACUGGUCCGGUACUGACGCUGAGGUGCGAAAGCGUGGGGAGCAAACAGG